rnacentral:rRNA from 1 species
GUUGACCUCGGAUCAGGUAGGGAUACCCGCUGAACUUAAGCAUAUCAAUAAGCGGAGGAAAAGAAACCAACCGGGAUUGCCUCAGUAACGGCGAGUGAAGCGGCAAGAGCUCAAAUUUGAAAGCUGGCUCCUUCGGGGUCCGCAUUGUAAUUUGCAGAGGAUGCUUCGGGUACAGCCCCCAUCUAAGUGCCCUGGAACGGGCCGUCAUAGAGGGUGAGAAUCCCGUAUGGGAUGGGGUGUCUGUGUCCGUGUGAAGCUCCUUCGACGAGUCGAGUUGUUUGGGAAUGCAGCUCUAAAUGGGUGGUAAAUUUCAUCUAAAGCUAAAUAUUGGCCGGAGACCGAUAGCGCACAAGUUAGAGUGAUCGAAAGAUGAAAAGCACUUUGAAAAGAGAGUUAAAAAGCACGUGAAAUUGUUGAAAGGGAAGCGCUUGCGACCAGACUCGCCUGCGGGGUUCAGCUGGCCUUCGGGCCGGUGUACUUCCCCGUGGGCGGGCCAGCGUCGGUUUGGACGGCCGGUCAAAGGCCCCCGGAAUGUAGCGCCUCUCGGGGCGCCUUAUAGCCGGGGGUGUAAUGCGGCCUGUCUGGACCGAGGAACGCGCUUCGGCACGGACGCUGGCAUAAUGGUCGUAAGCGACC